GGGGUUUACGAGAAUGACUGGAUCAUGGGUGUGUGAUGCUGAACAGGUGCACUUAUUGGCUUAGCAGAGUUCUGGGUUUACUAAAGAGCAGUGGAUUUACUAAAGAGGAAAGACACCGGGUGCGGGUGGCACCAGCCAAGGGGCUGGUAGCCUGGAUGGAUAAAAAGGAAAGGAAGAAAUCAUGCUGCUUUCUGCCUGCCACAUCAUGAACUAUUUCUCCUCUGCUGUGCUGCUCUGCCUUAGAGACAGUGAACUACGCUGAAACCUCUACAAACUGUGAGCUAAAAUAAACCUUUCCUCCUUUAACUUACAGGUGUCGGACAUUUUGUCCCAGGACCGAGAAAGUAACUGAGAUGCACCCAACCCGUGGCCUCUUCUGAAAAAGAAAAAUGGUUGGGAAGUAGGAGCUUUCAAUGGUCCCAGACUGCUUCAUCUUAAGUAGUGAAGGACCAUAAACGCUCGUGAAAAAAUGUUGGCAAAUAGCUGAAGGAAUGGAACUGGGUUGCUGAUGGGAAGAAAAGCUAUUCUGGCAAUUGUUCAUUCAGAGAAAACAGAGCUCAGGAGGCAAGUACUAGGGAUACCGAGGGAUGAGGACAGCAGGGCUUCAGGGAAGAGGAGGACCAGUGUCCAGGACACUUUCUCGGCCAGCUGGGCAGGCUGCUGGAAAGCAAAGGGAUCACUGGGAGUGCAGAGGCAUCUGCCCCCGCUGGGGAGGAGCACCAUCGUCUCCCUCUGUUCAUACCAGUCAGCCCUGGGCAGAAAUACUGGCACAACAACUGCACACAGGUAGAGGAAAGCAAUAAACAGGUUACUGCAAAGUUAAAAGGAUGUGG
rnacentral:lncRNA from 1 species